rnacentral:lncRNA from 1 species
GGUAGACUUAUCAAAUCCAUAUGCUGUGGCAACUGUUUUAAACCAAGAACCAGGAAAACUGAGGAUUAAAGAAUUAAGAGAAGUUUUGGACCAAGGCACAGAGACGUCAAAAACAAGACAGAUGAAGGAGGCGCUCUUUGAACAGAAAGUCAGACAAACCGCUUAUGAAGAGAUGGAAAAUCACCUUAAAUGGCAGGUGCACCUUGGGAAAGAUCAUAUGUCUUUCAAAUUUAGAAAAGAGCUUAUUGAGGAGCAGCAAAGACUCUACACCAACUAUAAGUUAGAUAGAGGAGAUCCUGUACCGGAAGAGGAAUUUCAGCGACUCAAGACAGAAGUUAACCAUAAACGGGUUGUUCGCAAUCUAGAAGAGAAUGCCAUAGAUUUGAAACCUAAUUUUGACCCACUUGUUAAUAAUAAUUGGCUCAGCAGGUUCAGAGCACAAAGGCAAUUUCAACAAGCAGUGUGCAAGAUCAUGCUUCAGCAACGGUUACUAAGAACACUAACAGCGGUCCGUAAAAUAGACAGAGAGGGUAUACUACAAAAGCAAUAUCAAGUAAAGCAAUCAUUAAUGCAAGACAAGCAUCCCUGCAAGUCCUGGCAGUCAGGAGCCAGUCAGGAGGAUUGCUCUUGCCGGUUGUCAGUGUCACCCAAGGAAGUGCUGCCCUUCACCUUCCCAUCCUACAACCCUCCCCAGGACUCCAGUGAGCUGGUGGGUGCCAUCUUGCUGUGGGAGGGGCUGGCACCAUCUCAGGUUGCUGGGCAGACUACUGGAGAAGCCCUGCAUUGGUGACUUCUCC